UGGGUAGAUCAUUUGUACCUUGAGGUUGUUCUUGUUAUUCUUCACCUUCAUCUUCUUGUUUGUUUUCAUGUUCUUCUUUAUUUUGGAUUGUUGAGUCUUUUAGGGUGAGCUCCUUCAUUCCUUCUAUAAGAGGAUCUGCAUCAUCAAUACAUUCACUCUUCCUUGAAGGAAGAUCAUUAGUCUCAUAAAAAAUAACAUGUAUUGACUCCUCUACUACUAAAGUUCUUUUGUUGAAAACUCUAAAAGCUUUGCUAGAAGAGGAGUAACCAAGA
rnacentral:lncRNA from 1 species